GGAGCCGUGCCUAAAUAAAGGACCACUUUGAUAGAGUGAAUCAUGAGGGUUAAAGCCCCUCCGACUCCU
rnacentral:tRNA from 1 species